GCUCUAAUGGGACGGCUUCAUGUGUUGCGUGGCCGUCUUUCAGGCACAUGGAACAAAUACACGCCUGGUCUGUGUAACAGAAGAAUUCAAACAUCUUGUCGUGCUUCUUACACACCCUGUCCUCCAGGUUUGACACAGGAUCAAUCAGCUGGUGCUUUUUAAGGGUUGUGACUCUCUGAUGAGGCUCCAGGUGAGUCUGGCAGUAUGAGGCCAAACACACCAGGCACGUCUUCUGUGCUUUGCGCUUCGGCUCAAGGCAGAUGUCACAGGGCACCUCCCCUGGUUUGGCAGGGAU